rnacentral:rRNA from 1 species
UACGUAGGGUGCGAGCGUUGUCCGGAAUUACUGGGCGUAAAGAGCUCGUAGGUGGUUUGUCGCGUUGUUCGUGAAAACCGGGGGCUUAACCCUCGGCGUGCGGGCGAUACGGGCAGACUUGAGUACUGCAGGGGAGACUGGAAUUCCUGGUGUAGCGGUGGAAUGCGCAGAUAUCAGGAGGAACACCGGUGGCGAAGGCGGUUCUCUGGGCAUGAUCUGACGCUAAGGAGCGAAAGUGUGGGGAGCGAACAGG